rnacentral:rRNA from 1 species
UACGUAGGGGGCAAGCGUUGUCCGGAAUCAUUGGGCGUAAAGCGCGUGUAGGCGGCCAGAAAAGUCCGCUGUGAAAACUCGAGGCUCAACUUCGAGCUGUCGGUGGAAACUUUCUGGCUAGAGUCCGGAAGAGGAGAAUGGAAUUCCUGGUGUAGCGGUGAAAUGCGCAGAUAUCAGGAAGAACACCAGUGGCGAAGGCGGCUCACUGGCCCGGUACUGACGCUGAGACGCGAAAGCGCGGGGAGCGAACGGG